rnacentral:rRNA from 1 species
UACGUAGGGUGCAAGCGUUUUUUUAAUCGGAAUUACUGGGCGUAAAGCGUGCGCAGGCGGUUUGUGCAAGACAGAUGUGAAAUGCCCGGGCUUUUUUUUUUUUAACCUGGGAACUGCAUUUUGUGACUGCAUUGGCUAGAGUUUGGCAGAGGGGGGGUAGAAUUUCCACGUGUAGCGGUGAAAUGCGUAGAUAUCUGGAGGAACACCGGUGGCGAAGGCGUGAGCCCUGGGCAAUGCUG